rnacentral:rRNA from 1 species
GUAGGUGGCAAGCGUUGUCCGGAAUUAUUGGGCGUAAAGCGCGCGCAGGUGGUUCUUUAAGUCUGAUGUGAAAGCCCCCGGCUCAACCGGGGAGGGUCAUUGGAAACUGGGGAACUUGAGUGCAGGAGAGGAAAGUGGAAUUCCACGUGUAGCGGUGAAAUGCGUAGAUAUGUGGAGGAACACCAGUGGCGAAGGCGACUUUCUGGCCUGUAACUGACACUGAGGCGCGAAAGCGUGGGGAGCAAACAGGGAUUAGAUACCCUGGUAGUCCACGCCGUAAACGAUGAGUGCUAAGUGUUGGGGGGGUUUCCCGCCCCUCAGUGCUUCAGCUAACGCAUUAAGCACUCCGCCUGGGGAUACGGUCGCAAGACUG